GAGGAGGAAGCAGGCUCCCUGCCCAGCACAGAGCCCGAAGGCAGCGGCUCAACCCACUGAGCCGCCCAGGCGCCCAGGCAACCCCGGUUCUUUUUGACGAUUUAAGGGGCAACGUGGUGCUGGGAGGGGCCCCUGAACCCGACCCCGGUGAGCCCCAGGCUGUGGGGGUGGCCGGAGUCGGCCUGCCCUGCUCAGGAGUUAGCAGGGCUGGGCAGCUGCCGGGUGGCCACCGCCCCUGCCUGAAUGCCUUCCUCUCCGGGCCGCGCCCUCGAUCAUCUUUGCGGUGGGAUGGCACCUGUGCGUCUCCCCGUUUAGCUCUGGUGUCACUAGUGGGGGUCACGGCAGGGUGGGGGGAGGAUAGUGACCCCAGGCCAUGCAUCUUCCUUCUGAGGAAUCUGAACUUUGCCUGGGAGCUGCAGGGGUCCACUCUGACCUCCCUCCCCUGCUCUGGCUCAGGCGUCCCCACCCCAGGCAGCCGGUUACUUUUCUCUCUUUGGGCAGGCUCUGGUGCCCAGCUCUUUGACCAAGCACCAGUCUAGCUGUUCCCGUGAGAUUUUUUAGGGGUGCUCCACAUUCCAGUCCGUUGGCUCUGGAUCACGGCGGUGGCCUCCAGAACAUGGUGACUCUCCCCUAACCAGUUGAAGGCUUAAGAGAAAGGCCUGGGAUGUCGGAGAAGGAACGAGUCCCUGUGGACACACUCCGGAGCUGCCAGCCCUUACAGUCAGUCCGCUCCGCUGCAGGCAGAGGCGCACAGGUCACUCUGGGCGUCUACUAGAGAGCUUGGACCUGCGGACCUCCUGGAAACCAGGACAGGUGUGCUCCGGUGGGGGACAGCCGUGGGCCCCAGUUCCUGUCUUUUCCAGAAGGAGCUACUAGGCGACUUGCUCCCUGUCGUGAGCAGGUGACCCUGCAGCAUGGAGAGGACAUUGCUACAGCCACACCCACGGAGCAGAAGGUCCCAGAGGAAGGCAGGGGAUGGGGACCGCCCCCGGCUCUGGCGCGGCUGCUCCGACCUGAGGCACAGCUCACUCCCCUCGACACCUCCGGGCCGGGCCUGGGACCGCAGAAGAUAAAGAGUGUCCCGCUGAUGAUGACGGCUGCCGACAGGAGGGUCUUGAGGAUGAGGGCUCUACUGAGGAUGGUGCCCUUGACGUUCCGCGGUGGCUGCUGGAGGGCGUCUCUGUCCACGGGCUCGACCCCCAAGCUGCUCGGAACACGACACGGGCGCCCGGACGUAAACCACUGAGAAGGGGACACUUCAGCCAGCCAGGCAGAGGCCGAACAAGCACAUCGGAGGCGGAGCCCGAACCUGCCAGGCCCUCCGAAGCUGUAACCGGGGACGCCAAGUGAACGUUGGUAAUGGAAUGCGUGUCAGAUGCAGUCCGAUGGAAUGACACGCUGUGUGCAGAGGUGGUCCUUCUGCACCUUUCAGCCCGCCUAACGCUCCCUUCUCAGCCAGCCAGCAACUCGCUGACCAGCUGCUGUGUGCCAAGUCCAUUCUAGGAGCCGGGGAGACUGACAGGAACAUCACAAACCUUGCCCAAGGGGAGCUGGAUCGGAAUCAGAUAAGCAAGGACAAGGACAUACAUGUAUAUUUUCUCCUCCGGGGAAAAACAAAGCAGGGUAUGGUGAUUGAGAGCCAGGAGGCUGCUGUUAGGGUAAUCAGGGAGGACUUCUUGGAGGUGGUGACCUCACGAGAGGCACAGAGCCUUGGAGCUGCGCAGGAGCAUCCUUCACGGACCCUGGCUGCCCAGACAGGUACUUGCUCCCCUGAACCGCAGUCAGCUUCUCUGGGACUCCUGGGGACAGUGACUGCACCCACACUCCGGGGCGCAGUUCCAGCCGCCCGCCCGGUGCCUCACCUCUGUGCCGGUGGCCCGUCCAUGAUGAUGUUGAUCCACAGGAUCUGCAUGGCGUUGAGGGGGCUGGGCAGGUUGCACACGGUGGACAGAGUGAUGAGGCUCAAGGCCGAGAUGCUCCUGCGGGGACACACGCGGGCUGGUCGAUGGCGGCUCUUCAGAUGCGUGUGCAGCACCUGCCGCCACUGGGAGCUGCGGGCCUUGACUUACGUGCUCAGCUGGAACCGGACAAAGUUUUUGAUGUUGUGAAAAAUCCCUUUGCCUUCCUCCACUGCACUCCUGCGAAAGAGAAAGCAUUUAUUCCCGAUGGUGUCAGUGGGGAUGGCCUCAUGCUCGGGUGCCCUUUCCUGUUUCGCCGCUCGAGGCCAUGCCCGCAGAGGACGACGAUGUCCUGUUGGCACCAGCAGGCGCUGGGGACUGGGCCGUGAGCCGCGAUCCCCCUUCUGCCCCCAAACCCGAUUACUCUCACGCCCACCUGGAGCCUGGGACCCCUGAAGCAACAAACCCACCUUGGGGAGUCCCACAAGAGGCACAGCAAAACCAACCAAACCCAGACCUGCUCCUGAGCUGCUGGGGUGUGGCCGGGGGGAGAAUUGGGAAGCUGAAAAGUCAUCUAGAAAACUCUGCAGAAGUCCUUUAAAAAAACAAUCUCGAGGCAUGAAUGCAGAAAACUGCCCAAUCUUUUUUUACUACUAAAGUUUUUUGCAAAAGCAAAAAUGACAGAUUUACUUAUUAACUGCAUCUUGUGCCCCGCCCACCCCCUGGCACCACGGGGGAAGGACACUAAGGACUGCAAUGGAGAAUCUGUUGGUAAAGAGAAGAUUCCUUCUGCAAAGUCCGAAAUCACAGCCAACUUCAGUCUUUGUUCAGAUCCUUGGUAUCUUCUCCCGCCCCCAGUGACUUCAGUUCACUUAGAAGGAAAGACUUCAUUAGAAUGAAUCAAAAUUAGAUCUAGAGGGCAGGCAGCUGUUUCUAAGGAAACAAAGGUGAAGAAAACAGGUGCCGGUCAUCCUGGCAGCCGGAGCUCCCGCGCGCCCGAGGCGUCCGUGUCCGCCCGAGCACGACCCCAGACUCAAACCCCACGUUGAGCUCUACAGGGUGAGCAUCUCCGGGUCUGGCCUCCUCGUGCUCCCGCUCUCGCUGUUGGCAGCCAGGGUGGUCUAGGAUUUCCCCCAAACGGUGCGGCAGCGGCCACACGGGCACGCGCCUCUGUCUGCGAGCGCCCGGUCCUGGCUUUCCCUCCGCUGCACCCUCGAGCUGCAAAAGCGUUCGCUCGCCUGUGUCUGCAGCACCCCCGGCCCCGGCUGCUAUGUGAGCCGGGACACCCGUCUCCCUGGCACGACGGAGCCCCGGGCUGGGCAGCUGGUUACGCCACGCGUGCCUGCCGGUCAACUCACAUGAUGGCUGAGAAGUCAUCGUUCACCAGGACCAUGUUGGCGGCCUCUUUGCUAACGUCUGUCCCCGUCUGCCCCAUGGCGAUCCCGAUGUCCGCAGACUUGAGGGCCACAGCGUCAUUCACCCCGUCCCCUGUCAUGGCCACGAUCGCCCCGCAUUCCUGCAAAGCCUUUGGAAAAAAGAGGCA